CUACGGGGGGCUGCAGUGAGGAAUAUUGCACAAUGGGGGGAACCCUGAUGCAGCAACGCCGCGUGGAGGAUGACGCAUUUCGGUGUGUAAACUCCUUUUAUAUGUCAAGAAAAUGACGGUAGCAUAUGAAUAAGCACCGGCUAACUCCGUGCCAGCAGCCGCGGUAAUACGGAGGGUGCAAGCGUUACUCGGAAUCACUGGGCGUAAAGGACGCGUAGGCGGGUUGUGAAAGUCAGGUGUGAAAUCCUACAGCUUAACUGUAGAACUGCACUUGAAACUUCUAAUCUAGAGUAUGGGAGGGGGAGAUGGAAUUAGUGGUGUAGGGGUAAAAUCCGUAGAUAUCACUAGGAAUACCUAAAGCGAAGGCGAUCUCCUGGAACAUUACUGACGCUAAGGCGUGAAAGCGUGGGGAGCAAACAGGAUUAGAUACCCCGGUAGUC
rnacentral:rRNA from 1 species